UUAAUGUUUGUCAAAUUUAGGUUGACGGUUGGACAAGAUGAUCUUUAAGGUCGCUUCCAACCUAGAAGAUUCUGUGAUUCUGUGAUUGAUGCUUACGUAGAAGGAUGUCAAUAAUCAUUGAUAAUUACCUUUUCUCACUGUGAGGGUGUAUUUUCUUUUGCGAAUACUUCACAGCAGGAAUAAUACCAGGAAGAAUAAAAGGGAAGAGGACACUUUUGUGUGGUCAGAACCUCCAGCAGCCGAGUGUUCCUACAUGUUGAUGAUGAGUACAAGAGAGACGGAGCUGCUGUGUCAUGUACCUUGGAGCCACGUGGAAUCAAAGUGAGUGGCUACCCAGACUUCCUUUUCCUUUCCUGUUCCAAGUGCAAGAAAUGUACCAAGAGCUGGCAAACAGAGGUAGCAGGCUUUCACUCAUCUUUAAGACUCCAUAUUGUAUAUCUUUUCUGACUUUCCUAUAAAUAAAAACAGCUAUAAGAGUGCCUCUGGCUAUUAUAUCCAAGGAUAAGUAUUUGAGAUACAUGAGAGAUGCUCAGGGAAUUGAUGUCUUCAGGAGAAAAAAAAACGUCCUGAGAUCAAUUUCCUGAUUCAAUAGCGAAGUCCUGAUAUCAUACAAAAUGUAAUGUGAUUGUCCAUGGCUCUAAUAAAAUCUUGAUUUUUUUUCCA